GGGGUCUUGGCACAGUGGUAGCGCGCACGCUUCGCAUCUCCGUCGAGGAGAAACUGCCUGCGUGAGGUCGUGAGUUCAAUCCUCACAGUCUCCA